rnacentral:misc_RNA from 1 species
GUGCUCAGGGUACUCAGGUAACUUCUCUUAUAUUUUUGGAUAAGCAUAAUUGUCCAACCUUUUAAAAACGUGCUUCGUGUAAGAAGUGCAUUUCCAAUUGGCUCCUUAUAGUUGCAUUGCUGGGAAAAAUCCCCUCUCAUGGCAUUAUUUGCUUUUGCUCUUCUCUCUUGUCAAAUAGAGAGUUCAAACAUUUCAAAGAAAUUGGAUGUUAUAUUUUUGAGGAUUCGUUUCACUUUCUCUCAGUGAAGUUGAUUGUGAUGUGGAGUCCCCGGUGGGGAGUGUUUUGGGCGAUUGGAGAUUGUUCUCAAGUCAAUUAGAAAAUCGGUGAUAAAGCU